CUAAUUUGUACCUAUUUAUUUUCAGAACAAUAGCUUUAUCUAUUCAUCUGACAGCACAACGUUUCGGUACUACUCUAGGAAAUGUUAUUUUUCCCUAUUUGGUCCAGAUGGGAUGUUUACCCCCAUUCUUGUUUAUAGGAAUAUUUGCAUCUGCUACUGGACUAUUAUCAAUGCUGUACGCAAAUACAGAAAACAAACCGUUAAUUUAAGAUUUAACUUAAUUUUACAACUAUAAGUAGAAAUAUAUUUUUUACAAUAAAAAAA
rnacentral:lncRNA from 1 species